UACAGAGGUGCCAAGCGUUAGGCGGAAUCACUGGGCUUAAAGCGCGUGUAGGCGGGUCGUUAAGUGUCUUGUGAAAUCCCACGGCUCAACCGUGGAACUGCUGGGCAUACUGACGAUCUUGAGGCACUCAGGGGCUGUCGGAACAAAUGGUGGAGCGGUGAAAUGCGUAGAUAUCAUUUGGAACGCCAACGGUGAAAACAGACAGCUGGGGGUGUCCUGACGCUGAGACGCGAAAACCAGGGGAGCGAACGGG
rnacentral:rRNA from 1 species